AUUGAACGCUGGCGGCAUGCCUUACACAUGCAAGUCGAACGGUAACAGGUCUUCGGAUGCUGACGAGUGGCGAACGGUUGAGUAAUGCAUCGGAACGAGCCCAGUAGGGGGGGAUAGCCCGGCGAAAGCCGGAUUAGUACCGCAUACGACGUGAGGGUGAAAGGGGGGGAUCGUAAGACCUCUCGCUAUUGUAGGGGACGAUGUCAGAUUAGCUAGUUGGUGGGGUAAAGGCCUACCAAGGCAACGAUCUGUAGUUGGUCUGAGAGGAAGACCAGCCACACUGGGACUGAGACACGGCCCAGACUCCUACGGGAGGCAGCAGUGUGGAAUUUUGGACAAUGGGCGCAAGCCUGAUCCAGCAAUGCCGCGUGCAGGAAGAAGGCCUUCGGGUUGUAAACUGCUUUUGUCAGGGAAGAAAUCUUCUGGGUUAAUACCUCGGGAGGAUGACGGUACCUGAAGAAUAAGCACCGGCUAACUACGUGCCAGCCGCCGCAGUAAUAC
rnacentral:rRNA from 1 species